UAUAUUUCUAGUUCUUAUGUCAAUGAAUUUGAACGAUAUAGAGAAGACUAGCAUGGCCCCUGCGCAAAGAUGACAUGCACAAAUUGAGAAAUGGUCCAAUUUAUU
rfam:Cicer arietinum chromosome Ca3, whole genome shotgun sequence.